rnacentral:tRNA from 1 species
GUUCAAGAAGCUUAAGGUGAGAGCAUGACAUUGAAGAUGUCGGGGUAAUUGUUUAAUUCUUGAAUA